rnacentral:tRNA from 1 species
UUCCCUAAAGCAUUGGUGGUGAUGCUAGAGACCUUUAAUCUCUGGAACUAGGUUCGACUCCUAGUGGGGAAAC